GGAGAGGUGUCCGAGUGGUUUAAGGAGCCGGUCUUGAAAACCGGAGAGCGGUCCCCGCUCCGCGGGUUCGAAUCCCGCCCUCUCCGCC
rnacentral:tRNA from 1 species